rnacentral:rRNA from 1 species
CAGUAGCCGCGGGAAUACGGAGGGUGCAAGCGUUAAUCGGAAUUACUGGGCGUAAAGCGCACGCAGGCGGUCUGUCGAGUCAGAUGUGAAAUCCCCGGGCUUAACCUGGGAACUGCAUUCAAAACUGACUGACUAGAGUAUGGUAGAGGGUGGUGGAAUUUCCUGUGUAGCGGUGAAAUGCGUAGGUAUAGGAAGGAACACCAGUGGCGAAGGCGACCACCUGGACUAAUACUGACACUGAGGUGCGAAAGCGUGGGGAGCAAACAGGAUUAGAUACCCCUGUAGUCCCUGUCUCUUAUAC